rnacentral:rRNA from 1 species
AUUGAACGCUGGCGGCAUGCCUUACACAUGCAAGUCGAACGGCAGCGCGGACUUCGGUCUGGCGGCGAGUGGCGAACGGGUGAGUAAUAUAUCGGAACGUGCCCUGGAGUGGGGGAUAACGUAGCGAAAGUUACGCUAAUACCGCAUACGAUCUACGGAUGAAAGUGGGGGAUCGCAAGACCUCAUGCUCGGGGAGCGGCCGAUAUGUGAUUAGCUAGUUGGUAGGGUAAAAGCCUACCAAGGCGACGAUCAGGAGCUGGUCUGAGAGGACGACCAGCCACACUGGGACUGAGACACGGCCCAGACUCCUACGGGAGGCAGCAGUGGGGAAUUUUGGACAAUGGUGGCAACCCUGAUCCAGCAAUGCCGCGUGUGUGAAGAAGGCCUUCGGGUUGUAAAGCACUUUUGUCCGGAACGAAACGGGCCCUUCUAAUACAGGGGCAUAAUGACGGUACCGGAAGAAUAAGCACCGGCUAACUACGUGCCAGCAGCCGCCGUAA